UCUGGAUAGGUAUGGCAUGACCAAUUAGGCAAAUUAGUGACUAGGAGUUGCUCCACUUCUUCGUUUUGUAUUACAUCGCCCUUUUUUGCAUGACCAGUUAGCCAAAUUAGCGACUGGGUGUUUCUAGCAAUGCAUGAAAAAUUGACAACUAUUUAGCAAAUUACAUCUCCUUCUUUUCUUGUAUAGGUGUUUUUGCCAAGGAUUUGUACAAAUGAUAUGAGUAACAUGAAGCAAAAUCAGAAGAUGUACUACACGAUAUGAAACAAUGCUCAUAUUAACCCAUCAGUACAUGUGUUUUUCGGUGUUCUUUUUGCCAAGGAACAAAGCUGUGGCGGGCACAUCAUGUGACCAGAAAGUCCACAGUAUGUAGUAAUGUUUCUUCUUUGUAGCUUCCAGCAACAGGUUAAUGCUUUUGCUUGUAAAAGGGGAGGGUCCACGGACAGUUCAGGGACUGCCUUUUGGUUUUGUAGUGAACAUAUCAAAGCACCAUAAGAUGCAUCUUUUAUUUUUCUGAUCAAAGGGUCUGCAACACUAAAUUUUCUCUUAAUUUGCUUUUGCUGACUCAAAUUUCU
rnacentral:lncRNA from 1 species